GGUAAAAUAGUUAUUUUGUUUUAUUUUAUAAUGUUUACUAUAAAAUAUUGAAAUAGAUAUAAAAGUAUUAUAAUAUUAUUAUUAAAUAAUUUUUUUAUUAAAUAUAACAUUUAAUUUUCAUUAACCCAUAUCGAGCAAUUUUAUUUUCAUGAUAUUUUCAAAAUUAAAAAAAUAUAUAAUAUUUGAAUAUAGCUAAUGAUUAUAGCUAACACCGUCGGAGCAAAAAUCGCUACAGGUUCAAUAAAAUUAUAACUAAUCAUGUUUUAGCUAACAGUUUUCACUGUUAGCCUUGGAGAUGCUCUUAUGCUCCUCUUCUUAUCUUCACUCGAGAAGCAGCAAGCUGAGCACUUAGAAUCAUAAUCUUUUCUUCAACAAUAAAGUUCCCAUCGGCUCGAAAAGCCCUCAAGAUGUCGAAUGCCAACGUGAAUAGCUGGAGUUGUACAUGUUGCUUCAACUAUAUCUGCGAAACUUGCUGUACUUGUUGCGCAAUCUGUUCAGCAGAAGCAUGCCUCAGCUGUUUCUAGUAGUGAACCAGUUGAGACAUGGAACUGAAACUUUAAGAACUGGAGUUAUAACAUCAGAGCAACAGGGACACAAGAUGAGCUCUAAAUUUGUUCAUGUUCUGAGACUGUUAUCAGAUUUAUCUUGUAUAGUCCUGGCUUAAUAUCUAUGCCUGAUUGUAUUUGAUAUUUAUAUAUGUUCGCGUUUUUAAUUA